rnacentral:rRNA from 1 species
ACCAGACUCCUACGGGAGGCAGCAGUGGGGGAUAUUGCACAAUGGGGGGAACCCUGAUGCAGCGACGCCGCGUGGGUGAAGAAGCGCCUCGGCGCGUAAAGCCCUGUCAGCAGGGAAGAAAAUGACGGUACCUGAAGAAGAAGCCCCGGCUAACUACGCGCCAGCAGCCGCGGUAAUACGUAGGGGGCAAGCGUUAUCCGGAUUUACUGGGUGUAAAGGGGGCGCAGACGGCGAUGCAAGCCAGGAGUGAAAGCCCGGGGCCCAACCCCGGGACUGCUCUUGGAACUGCGUGGCUGGAGUGCAGGAGGGGCAGGCGGAAUUCCUGGUGUAGCGGUGAAAUGCGUAGAUAUCAGGCGGAACACCGGUGGCGAAGGCGGCCUGCUGGACUGCAACUGACGUUGAGGCCCGAAAGCGUGGGGAGCAAACAGGAUUAGAUACCCGCGUAU